rnacentral:lncRNA from 1 species
GGGUCAUUUACAAUGAAGAAAAGACUAGAGCUUUAUAGGCUCGACAAGGACAGACUCUAACAGUCAUAAAAUGAUAAAAGGAAACAAAAUAACUUGAACUUAAAGUCUUGGGAGCAAAGGCUUUGAUGACUCCAUGGAAUAUAGCCGUUAGGCUUGAUUUGCUUCCUUCCAAAAGAGAAACUUGUGAAGACUUGUAUCUUGAUAGUUUCUGGACGUGGCCAUGAUCUUCAAGCCUUCCUGAAAUACUCCUUGGCCUCAGUAAAAGAGAAUAUGGCCGUUGGUCUUGGGCAAAAAUCUGUAGAAACUUCUCCAAAGCAUUUAGUGUAGAUGUUGGCAAAUAUGGAAGGUUGAUGGGAAGAGAGAUCCGCCUGAUCUCCUGGGUGCUGGUCCAGCUGAGGACGUCUUGGAUGUCUUCUGAAUGGUCUAGAGUAUCUCCUGGUUCCCAUAGAUAGCCCUGGGUCGAACCAAGUUGAAUUGGUUGAAGACUUUCCUUAAAUGAUGUCGGUUUGGCCAAUUGAUGCAAACCGGCUUGAUCUUUUGGUUUGAUUGGGAUCCGCCUGAUCCAGUGUGGCAUGGUGCUUCCUAUGAUUUUUUAUAGUGCCUAUUAAUGACUUAGAAGGUCUUCUGGUUGCCAUUCUUGAGGUUGGUUCGAUGUGAAACCCGGAUCUUCCAAAUAAGGCAAGUGUAGAGCUGGUUUGGCCGGUUUUGGGAAAUUGAUCAUAUCUUCCAAUUUCCUUGACCAUUUCUCGCGAUCUUGGGCUUUCUGGAAAGCUAAUAAACUCCUCUUGACUCCUAUGAUCGUUUUUGGUUCAGGCCGCUUCUUCUUUGGGCUUGAAUCCUCUUCUAAAGUCGCAUACUCGCAGAUGGACGGGCUGAGAAACCUCUGAAUUGUAAAAUUCAUAACUUCUUGCUCCGUGAAUAUUUUGGGCAGAUUCCAAUUGUCCUGGACUCCUUCUUGAGUUUAGAAUCCAUACAAAUUAUCUUUGUAAUUUAAACCCUCCUGGUUUGUAAGAUAUGGCAUUUUUAGUGCACGUAUGUCCUGGUUGGCGCCUUGGCUGGUUGAGUAGGGUGUUGGGUCGACCUCUGGUUCAGCUGCUGAAUUUCUGGCCGCAACAUUCCCUCCCCCUUGAAAAGGUUUCGACCUCGAAACUGUAUAACCUGCACCAAGAUAGAGCAAGUCAGCUUUCAUACUCUUUUGAGAUUCUAAGGUCUUACCUUGAUAUUGUUUUGGUUUGGGGAUGGAUUGUUCAUCAGGUGGCUCUUCUUUCAGCAAAUAGGAUAGGAUCACGCCUCUGCUAUGGACUUUUGCAUUGCUUCUCUUCUUCAGUGGAUGGUCCUUCAUACUCCUAGCAGGCUCAGUUCUGACCAUCUUUGGGUUUGAUCCUCCUAGCAACAAAAGAUUAUCCGGUGGGAUUUCUUUGAAGCUUUCUUCUUUGCAACCUGAAAAUUUUUCAACAUUCUGGACAAAGACCAAGUGAAUUAUAUCUGAUACUGGAAUUUCAUGAACAGAAUUUGUUAUGGUCGAAUUUACCUUGGGUGCAUCAGCAUGAUGAAGAAUGAUAUUCUUCUUUGGACAGAUUUGGUUAGAUGGCUGCCUUUCUUGCAAAUGUUUACCUUGGUUGGUAUAACCAUCUUCUUGUGAUAGCUCAGCUCGGUUUUUUAUGUUCUUCUUGACUUAUCCCUGGAUCAAAACAUCUUGGCAAAGACAAGUGUAUUAUACCAAAGUAUAGGGAUUUAUAAACUGAAGAAAACAUAGAACAAUUAACCUUAAUGUCAAAUGUGGUAGUAAGAACUUCUUGUUCUUUGUUUGCCUUGUAGUAACCUUGCUUUCCUGUACCAAUUUCACUUUUCCUUGGACAAGACAAGUGCAUUAAUCUUGUCAUAGAAUCAAUAAAAACAUUCUGGUUUAAAGUGAAUUUUACCUCAGAUUUUGGCACUUGAACAGUACAUUGUGAAAGUUCAGAGACACUACAAUUAGAACCGUACACAAAUCUCUCAAGAACACUUUCUUGUAUAUUAGAAAUCUUUUAAACAAUCCACCUAGAUCUGUUUAAUCCGGUUUAUGCUCAGUCACACACGACUAGCGACGGACCAAUUUCUAAUCUCUAAAUCACAGAAACUCGAGCUGAACACCCUUCACUCGAUUUCUGAAGCUGACAAGAACACGCCUCUUGUUCUAGCUUUUUCUCUCUUAACGCGCAACCUAAAACACUUCUAGGUUUACUUGUUAAAUACACGUGAAAAGGCAAUAUUCUUCUUCCUAAAAUAUCGCCAGCAGAAGAUCCUCCUUGCUUCGCGCCAAAGCAAUAUCUUCUACUUCCAUCGGUUUGUGACACGUCAUCACGUCGUAACAAACAUACCGCACUGUGUUACACACUCAUCACCAAGUGUAACACAGUCUAGGCACAACCGAACACGCUCAUAAUUCUUGAGCUUACAUUCUCCCCCUUUUUAUCUGAAUGUGACAAUCUACUCAACCUGUUGCAAUCAAAGCUCAACACACAAGACCACAAGACUAUUUUCCAUAUCAGCCAUAAGGAAUAGUCUAACAUCAUACCACAAACUACGAGAAAGCAGAAACACCACAAACUUAAGAAAUUAAGGUUUUUCAAAUCCAUACACAAACAGAAGCAAAGAAGGGAAAGAGUACGAUGCAAAGUGCAACAUCAAGGUUCAGUACAUGAUGCAUAGAAUGAAACACAACAGAUUCACUCAUUAGAAACUUUCACUCUCAUCACUGUCCGGUUCCACUUCAUCUUCCUGCUCAUUCUGUUGAGACCGACUAGGAUGCUGUGGAUAUUCUCCCCCUGAGUAGAUGCACAUUAAGAUAAAAACAUAAGGUUAGAGACUCAGAAGAUUUAAGAAUUUCAACAAGUACUACUCCCUUACUCCUCAAGCGAAUCCGAAUGCUUUUAAGAUCAGCUAUGGUUCGCUCAAUGUCAGCCAGAAGAUCAGCGGCACUAGAGUUACCCCCUUGGCCUCUGCCUGCCUUGAUGUCUUUUACCACCAGCUUAGGAUACCCGGUAUACUCUUCAUCAUCUUCAAAUGACAGCACUGUCCGUUGAUAGUCAAUCACUUGCUGAAUCAAAGUAGGGAAAAUGACUCUCCGAGACCUGUCAGUGCUGAGAUUAGCUGCAAAGCUGAUGAUUUGAUCAUAGACCAUCUGACCAAAAUCAAAGCCCCUGUGAUGAUGAAGCAUGUAGAGAAACUUGAGUCGUUCCUGGUUCAUUGACGUGUAGUUGGUGGUGGGAAUCCAAUUUGAGCACACCAGCUUGUAGAGGACUUGAUUCGUCGGGGUCAGAUACUUAGAACUCAUGGCUUCCGAACGUCGCACACGAUUAUCCGUCAGGAACGAGCACACUAGAUCAAUGUCUACUGCCAAGUAGUCAGGAUCUUCUUCAAAGCCAGGGAUCAUGUACAGAGCAUUAAUCAAGCUAGGCGAGAAUUCAACCAUAGACCCACGAAGAAACACAGCAACACCAUCUUCUCUAUUCUCAGCCGCACCCAAAUUGGCAAUAAACUCUUUCACAACAUUUGGAUGAAACAAGUCACUAUCAAUCAGAGUAUAGAUCAACCCUGACCUAACUACCACCCGUUUCACAUCGAGCAAAUUCUCGUCAGUCACAUCAAUCCUCUGUUGAAUCACAAACUCUCGUGAAGCCAAUUUUUCAUACCUCUCAGCUGAAUUGCUGGUGACAAAACGACUCGAGAACGGAGUGAUGAGGGAACGAAGUAGUUCUGGGUUUUCUUGAUUUCGUGCUUGGAAGUUCGCACGGCUUGCUUGAUAACGUGGCUCUUUGAGUUGAAAAGAUUCAACCUCGUCGUCGGUAGAUGUAUAUGCAGCAGGCGGAGAAGACGGUGGCGGGGUCAUCUUUCGGCGUUGUUUCCGGAUACGUUUGCGGGAAGAUCCAGACGGACCAGCAGAGGAGAGAUCCGGAAUGGUUGUUUCUUUCUCAGACAAUCGAGAGCUUCUUCGGGUGGGUUGCAUGUUUCGAUCUUUAGAGAGAGAGAUAUGGUGAAUCCCCCUAAUUUCACUCAAUUUAAAACAUUAGCCCCCAAUAAAAUAUCUCAGCAAAAAAAAACAAUUAAUACACUGAGUGUGAUGCAAUAGAACUGAUGUGUAACUCAUGUAUGUGACCAGGAGCAAAGACUUCACUUACAUUCGUAUGAGAGUUCAGGAGUCAUGAGAAUUUGUGAUAAUAGUCAGUCCGAUAAACAUCAAUGGAUAUGAUGCCUGCAUCUCAGGGGUAUAGUCACUGAAGAACGAUUUUCGCCACACAUCUAGCUACCAAAACAUUGUUUUUGUUGAAAGCAAUGAGUCAACCCAAGUCUGUAGCUAUUUCUCAGCCGAGUAGCUGUCACAAACGAGAUUCUGCUGUGUCCAUUCAGUCAACCCAACUCUGUUUUCCCACUUAGCUGUAUGGUCUGGAAACACACGUUAGGCUUCUUGUGUGUCUGUCUCUCCAACUCACAGACAUUCUCGUUUUAUUAUCAACAGGUAGUCAAUACACAACUCUAAUUCUAGGACAGAGAUGAACUUCAGAGACAAAGUGGGAGAACACCCUGCUCCGAAACAUGUACCCCAAGAAAUUGGUAUCAUACCUGCCCAGUCAAGACAGUGAUCGAAAUCAGAGACAGAGUGGGAUAACACCCUGUUCCAAAACGAGUAUCUAUCAUUCCAGGCCUUCCUUUUCUUUUGUUUUGUUAUGAGUCACAUAACUCUUCCAGAAAGUUUCACAUGAGUCUUACCUUUGACCCUUUUUGCGUGACUCACAUUCUUUUUUUUUUUUUUUUUUUUUUUUUUUUAUCUUUACUUACACAACACUCAUCCUCUUAUGUGUUUCCUCAUUCAAUCCAGGCAGUGAUCAAUGCAUCAAACGUGAAAUGGGGUAACAUCUCAGUUCAAGAUGAGUGCCCUUCACCAGUGAACCAGAAAGGCGAGAUAACAAGAGUCAGGUGACAGAACUUACACAGUAGAACUUGUUGACUCAAGGUGUUAGUGAGGGGGUAGCAUCGAAGCAUAGAGUCUGACAUUCUUACAGUGACUCUCCCCCUUUGUUUUAGGACUUACUCAGAGUUCCAUGAUUCCCAACGCCUUUCUAAGACCCAGAAAGGUGUUGUAAUCCAGUGGUUUGGUAAAGAGAUCAGCAAGUUGUUUCUCUGUUGGGACAUGCUCUAAUAUCACAAUCCUCAUUUCCACCAACUCUCUUACAAAGUGAUGUCUUAUAUCCACGUGUUUAGUACGUGAAUGCUGAACUGGAUUUUUAGAGAGAUUGAUAGCACUCAUAUUAUCACAAUGAACAAGCAUGGGAGAAGAGAUGAUACCGUAGUCAACAAGCAUUUGUCGCAUCCAAAGAAGUUGAGUGCAGCAGCUACCUAGUGCAAUGUAUUCAGCUUCUGCUGUAGAUAGAGAAACACAGUUUUGUUUCUUGCUAUGCCAUGAGACCAUGUUGUUUCCCAAGAAAAAACAACCACCUGAUGUGCUGUGUCUGUCAUCUAGGCAACCUGCCCAAUCAGCAUCACAAAAACCUGCAAGAUUCACAUUAGUCUCAAAUGUAUAAUGAAGACCAAAGUCAAGAGUGCCUUUUACGUAUUUGAUAAUACGCUUUACUGCAUUCAUGUGAGAUUCUUUUGGUUUAGCUUGAUAGCGAGCACAAAUCCCCACACUGAGGCAUAAAUCAGGACGACUUGCCGUGAGAUAAAGGAGACUCCCAAUCAUGGCUCGGUAGAGUUUCUCAUCAACUGGUUUCCCAUCGCUAUCUCUGGAAAGUUUGGUUGUUGUGCUCAUGGGGGUUUUAGCAAUCUUACUUGUCUGCAUUCCAAAUCGCUUGAUGAGAUUUUUGGCAUAGGUACUCUGUGACACUGUGAUUCCAUCGAUUAGUUGUUUGACCUGCAGUCCAAGGAAAUAGCUCAGUUCUCCAACCAUACUCAUUUCAAAUUCCUUUGUCAUAGUCUUCACGAAGUCAUCAACCAUUUGCUUAGACGUUCCUCCGAAAAUGAUAUCAUCCACGUAAACUUGAAUGAUCAGCAUGUCAUUUCCAUUUUCUCCGAUGAAUAGGGUCUUGUCCACACCACCUCUUUGGAAGCCAGCUUGUAGCAGGAACUCCGUCAGACGAUCAUACCAAGCUCGUGGAGCUUGUUUCAACCCAUAGAGAGCUUUCUUGAGUUUGUAGACGUGAUCCGGAAAGUGUGGAUCCUCAAACCCUUUUGGUUGUGUUACGUAGACUUCUUCUUGUAAUACACCGUUUAGGAAAGCACUCUUGACAUCCAUUUGAUAGAGUUUGAUUCUCAGAUUGCACGCCAUUCCAAACAGUAGUCGUAUUGAUUCAAGUCGUGCAACUGGAGCAAAGGUUUCAUCAAAGUCUACUCCUUCGAUCUGAGAGUAUCCCUGUCCAACUAACCGCGAUUUGUUUCGAAUGACAUUUCCUUCCUCAUCAGUCUUGUUCUUGUGAAUCCACUUGGUUCCAAUAAUGUUUACAUUCUUUGGUCUUGGUACCAAUUCCCACACUUGAAGUCGUUCAAACUGUUCAAGCUCCAGGUGCAUUGAUUCGGUCCAAAAUUCAUCAUCUAAUGCCUCCUGAAUGUUCUUAGGCUCAAUGAGCGACACAAAGCAUUCCACUUCAUUCAUCUUCACCAUGAAACAUGCCAACUUUACCAUCUCUUUGAAAUCGAUUUGUUUCUUUCUUGUAACUCUUUCAUCAAACAGUCCGCCAAUCACAUCUGAAGAGGAGUGGUUUUUGUGUACUUUUCCUUGAUCAAGAUCGACCUUGGUCAUUUCAGGUUCAUCGUCUCCUUCAGACUCCUCUUUCGCUUCAUUCUCAGCUUCGUUUUCAGCUUGUCUUGAAGAACUUGGCGUGACACCUUCUAUUGUCUGUGUUACACGAGCCUCAUAGAAUCCAAUGCUAUCGUCAAAGACUACGUUAACAUUGUCACCUACAAACUUUGUACGCUGAUUAAACACCCGGUAGGCUGAACUGUUCACUGAGUAUCCUAGAAACAUCCCUACGUCACUCCUUGCUUCAAACUUUCCAAGAUGUUCUUUAUCAUUCAGAAUGUAGCACAAACAUCCAAACACAUGCAUAUGACUCAGAUUCGGUGUUUUGCCUUUGAGGAUUUCAUAGGGAGUAGUCUUGGUCUUUGGCUUGACAUAGACCCGAUUUAUCACAUAGCAUGCAGUGUUGAUUGCUUCCGCCCAAAAUCCAGAUGGAACACUGUUUCCACACAGCAUUGCUCUAGCCAUUUCUUGCAAUGUCCUAUUCUUUCUUUCCACGACUCCAUUUUGUUGAGGAGUUCUUGGAGCGGCAUACUGAUGACGGAUACCUUGACUGUGACAGAACUUGUCAAACUGCUCAUUCUGAAACUCACCACCAUGAUCGCUCUUAAUCUGAAUGAUUCCUCCUUUGUCCUGUUUGAGCUGAAGAGCGAGGAUUCUGAAACUCUCAAGGGCAUCAGACUUGUUGCGUAAGAAGUCCACCCAUGUAUACCUGGAAAAAUCAUCAACCAAUACAAAAAUAUAUCGCUUACCAGCAAUGCUUUCAGGAGUUAUAGGACCCAUGAGAUCCAUAUGAACGAGUUCCAAUAUCCGUGUAGAUCUGAUCUCUGAAAUUUGCUUGUGUUGUACCUUGACUUGCUUCCCUUGACAACAUGCUCCACAUACUGUCUCUGUUUGUUUCUCCAAAUCAGGGACACCUCUUACUACUUCAGCAUUUACGAGUCUGAAGAGUCCAUUUGUGUUCAUGUGACCCAGUUUCUUAUGCCAGAGAUCAAGUUUGGAUUCAGCAGCUGCAAAACACACGUUGGAAGGUCUCCAAAGAUAGCAGUUAUUUCCUGAACGAAUACCUCUCAGCACGACAUUGUUUCUUGCGUCAACGGCACGACAUUCCUUGCUGUUGAAGAUGACCUCUAAUCCCUCAUCACAAAGUUGACUCACACUGAUCAGAUUUGCCUUGAGGCCCUCAACAAAGUAAACGUUUGAGAGUUUAGGCACAUCAGGUCUGGAGGUUAUUCCAAUUGCACGGAUUUUACCUUGUCCACCAUCUCCAAAAGUAACUUUUCCACCUCUGAUGAGUUCGAGUUUCUCAAGGUAGUCUUCAUUUCCAGUCAUAUGCUUUGAGCACCCACUGUCAAAAUACCAUGGAAGUUGUGUUUGUGAUACUUCUUCAGCAGAGGUAUAAGCAACAUUAUUCACGAUCUCUGUGUCUACUUGCACUCGCACCAGGUUGCAAACUAGAUCAUGUUCUGCUUCAGUGUGUGACUUAUCAGAACUGGUGUUUAUCUUGGAGUGAUUGUUCUCUUUGAAGUUUGGAUACAGAUCACGUUUGGCUAUCCAUACACAACCGUAAGCAGUUGGUUCUGUGAAGCACAGAUUUAACCUCCAUGCUCUCUCAUACUGAUGUCUUCGAAAGUAACAGAAUCUGGCAUUGUGUCCUUGUUUCCCACAGAAAUGACAUCCGUUUCCAAGUCUUCUUGGUUUUGGGAGGACAUUCUUGUUUCUUUCAACAGGGAUUCCUUUCUCUUGAGGUUUCUUUUCUUCAUUAGAAGAUUCCUUCACAAACUUCGUUUCAGUAUCCUUUGAGGUAGAUCCUUUAUAUCCCAGACCGGUGUUGAGACUUGGACACUGUCCCAAUGUAAGUAUGUGGUCAAGAGUUGCAGUACCAGAUGAGAGCAUGCGUACCUUCUUGUGAUUUUCAGUUAGUUGACUUUCAAGUUGCCUGCUUCGGUCAGUCUCUGCGGCUAAGAGUUUAUUCAAUCUUUGUAUGUGUGUUUCAGCUUCCUUACGAACUCGUUCCUGUUCUGUCAUAGCUCUCCUUAGUGCAAGAACUUCUUGAUCUGACUCUUGGUCCAUCGAGUAAGUUUUUGUCUUAGUGGUAGUCUGGUCAAGUUCCAGUAUGUUGAUCUGAGCUUUCAUCAUUGCUUUCUCCUUUAGAAGCUCGAGAUUCUCAUGACUGAGAUCAGAGAAUUUGUCAAACAGAGUCUUGUACUCUGUUUCAAGAUCUUGUUCAAGAUCAUCAUCCCCAUCGCUGCCAGCAUCAAUUUCCUCUCCACUUUCUCGACCAACUAGAGCCAUGAAGUUUAAGUGCAGCUCACCUUCUUCACUCCCAUUUUCAGAUUCAGUGUCACUGAAACACACGAGCGACUUCUCUUUCUUGAGGAUGCUAGGACACUCACUGCGUGUAUGCCCAAUUCCUUUACACUCAAUACAUUUUUGCUCUUUUCUCUUAGCAAGAGGACACUCACUCCUGAAAUGCCCGUAACCUUCACACUCAUGACACUUCUUUGUGUUCUUGCUAGAAUCAUGCUUGGAGUGCUGAGAGCUACUCCUUUCAUGAUCAUCCUUUUGGUAGCGUCCAUUGAAUCUACCACCACCUUUCUCCAUACGCUUGACAAACUUGUUGAAGUUUCGUGCCAUUAAACUCAGGUUUUCUUCAAUCUUAGUGACUCGACCAUCAUCCUUAGACUCAGCUGUGAACGCAAUGCUUUUCUGAUUAGUAGAUUGUCGGUCGGUUUUCUCAAGAUCAUGCACUUUCAAGAUGCCUGAGAGUUGAUCAAACUUCAUCUCAUCUGUGUCUACAGCCAGUGUAAGUACAGCUUUAUAAGCUUCAAACCGGGGUGGUAAGCACCUUAGCAGUUUCUUCACCAGAUCCUUUUCUUCAUACUUCUUCCCAAGGACAGACGCUUCACUUGCCAGUUCACUGAUCUUGCAUAUGAAUCCAUCAAUCGGCUCAUCGUCACUCAUUCUCAGGUUCUCAAACUUAGAGGCUAGAUGAUCAAGACGUGUCCUUCUCACACUGGUAUUCCCUUCAAAGUGAUUUAUGAGCGUGUCCCACGCUUGCUUGGCAGAUUCACAUCCUUGUAUGAUCUUGAACUGCUCAACAUCUACUGAUGAGAAUAUGACAGUUAGAGCUUUGGAGUUGAAUUUUGACGCCUUCUUCUCACCAUCAGUCCACUGGUCUUUAGGCUUUGGACCUUCAGACUUAUCUUCCAGGACAACGGUAGGAGCACUCCAACCAUCUUCUACAGAUGUCCAGGCAUCUUCAUCAACCCCUCUGAUGAUGUGUUGCAUCCUUACUUUCCAGUGACCAAAGUUGGUACUGUCCAGCAUGAUCGGCUUAUGAAUGUGUAAGAGUUCCUUCAUGGUGUCCAUGAAAUCAGCAGGAUCUCAACCUGUAAGUAGUACUUGAUACCACAGAGGUUUCCCGCUCUGAUACCAAAUGAAAGUUCAGAGACACUACAAUUAGAACCGUACACAAAUCUCUCAAGAACACUUUCUUGUAUAUUAGAAAUCUUUUAAACAAUCCACCUAGAUCUGUUUAAUCCGGUUUAUGCUCAGUCACACACGACUAGCGACGGACCAAUUUCUAAUCUCUAAAUCACAGAAACUCGAGCUGAACACCCUUCACUCGAUUUCUGAAGCUGACAAGAACACGCCUCUUGUUCUAGCUUUUUCUCUCUUAACGCGCAACCUAAAACACUUCUAGGUUUACUUGUUAAAUACACGUGAAAAGGCAAUAUUCUUCUUCCUAAAAUAUCGCCAGCAGAAGAUCCUCCUUGCUUCGCGCCAAAGCAAUAUCUUCUACUUCCAUCGGUUUGUGACACGUCAUCACGUCGUAACAAACAUACCGCACUGUGUUACACACUCAUCACCAAGUGUAACACAGUCUAGGCACAACCGAACACGCUCAUAAUUCUUGAGCUUACACAUUGUUCAGAUUUCGGUUUCCACUUAUGGUGUGGAUUUUGAUUGAUCUCAUGAUCUGGUUCGGCACUUGGAACUCCAGUUAGCAUAUGGCUCUCAUCU